UAACGACUUUCGGCAACGGAUAUCUCGGCUUUAGCAUCGAUGAAGAACGUAGUGAAAUGCGAUACUUGGUGUGAAUUGCAGAAUCCCGUGAACCAUCGAGUCUUUGAACCCAAGUUGCGCCCGAAGCUUCACGGCUGAGGGCACGUCUGCCUGGGCGUGAAG
rnacentral:rRNA from 1 species